rnacentral:rRNA from 2 species
UGAUCCCUUCCCGAACUCAGAAGUGAAACCUCUUAGCGCUGAUGGUAGUGUGGGAUUACCCAUGUGAGAGUAAGUCAUCGCCAGCU